rnacentral:lncRNA from 1 species
AAAACAUUUUUUAUUAAGCGAACAUUUUCCGUUGUAAUCUAGAACACUUCUCAUGAGGUUGACACAUUUUUUUUAUCGAGGGGAACAUAUCUUUUUGUUGUAACUUGGAACAUUAAUUUUAUUAAGCAGAACCUUCUUUUGUUGCGUAGAAUAUUUUUGUUGUUGGAGUAUUUUUCAAGACAAUAACAUUUAUUUCAUUUAGUUGACUGAUUUUUGUAUGGCAGUGAACAAUUUUACACUAAUCAAAGCAAUUUGAUGACAAUCCUACGGUCCUAAAACUUUACCCGUGUGUAACAGUGCAAGCAACAUACAUUGAGCAAAUCUGUUUAAGAGAAGUUCUUCAUGUGUAAGAUACCUAACGGGUUAUAUACUAUGACCUCAUGGAUCAUCGUUACCUGUUAGGGAUAAGAGAACUGUGGUAGAUACUGGAUACACUUUGAACGAUAACCCUCGCUUUGGCAAUUAAGGGUCGAGUGGCUAGUAUGAGGCUCGGUUCAGCCUGAGACUAGCAAUUGUGGUACCAUGCUUGUAGGAGGAUGGCAUGUUGGUGUAAGGGGAUGGCAGAUGCCUUAGCUCCUUGAUUUGCUAUGGCCCAUGUUCAACCCUGUGAGGAGAGUUUUACGUUCCCGGAGUGACCUCUUGCGGGAGGAUGCGUCCAAACUUUAUGAAAGCAGGAUUCCUGGAGUGUCUGUUCUUAGAUAGGUGGGGUUCGUUUGGUUGGCUUAUUACUAAAACUGACCUAAUAUGCAG